UACGUAGGGCGCAAGCGUUGUCCGGAAUUAUUGGGCGUAAAGAGCUCGUAGGCGGCCUGUUGCGUCUGCUGUGAAAUCUCAAGGCUCAACCUUGAGCUUGCAGUGGGUACGGGCAGACUAGAGUGUGGUAGGGGGAGACUGGAAUUCCUGGUGUAGCGGUGAAAUGCGCAGAUAUCAGGAGGAACACCGGUGGCGAAGGCGGGACUCUGGGCCGAUACUGACGCUGAGGAGCGAAAGCGUGGGGAGCGAACAGG
rnacentral:rRNA from 1 species